rnacentral:lncRNA from 1 species
GAAAUAGGCCAUCUUAUAAUGCAAACCGUAACACAAAGAAAUUUGAGAGUUGUUUCCUUGGAGCUGGAAUGAAUGAGUGGACUAUAUUCAAAUAACAAUAUAUAGAUGUAUUUGUAAGUUGCCUAUUAACUUUUAUCUAAUUUUUCUUGUGUAUUUUGCAUAUUGUUUUGUAUUACUUUCGAAUGGUGGCUCUAUGAUUGAUUUAACUUGAUGAUUACUAGCAAUAUUGCUUGAAGAUGAAUUAAAUUCCUUCGACAAAAUGGUUGCUCGACCUUGUCAUUUGGUAUGUACUGUAGUUUGCGUUAUUAGUUAUGUAUUAGAAUCAAUUUUUUUGAAAUCUUAAGUGACUCGAAAAUAUAUUUCAGGUGACAUUUGGAGGCGUCAGCGAAAUAUCAGAUACUUGAACUCAAGAUAUCCCUCAAGGAAAAUGUCAAUAUCAAAUACUUGGACUCAAGAUAUUAGCACUACUUUUCCACAAGAAGAAUUUGGAGAAUGCAACUAAGCUACAUGUUUAUACCUUGGAAACAAUAAAUUUUACUCUCACCAACAGCCUUAGUCUAAUUUUCUUUUACAAAUAUUUGGUAGGAUUUAGAGCUAUAUUUUGUUAGCAAUAUGAAAAUAUUGUUUCAAACUUUCUUGUUUAUUGGUCAUUGUAAUGAAUAUAGAAUUCAUAGUUGAAAUGAAUAAAGUAUUAGAGUUAUUAUUAAA